AAUGGGCGCAAGCCUGAUCCAGCCAUGCCGCGUGAAGGAUGACGGCCCUAUGGGUUGUAAACUUCUUUUAGCAGGGAAAAAACCCCUCGAUGCGUCGGGGGCUGAUGGUACCUGCAGAAUAAGGAUCGGCUAACUCCGUGCCAGCAGCCGCGGUAAUACGGAGGAUCCAAGCGUUAUCCGGAUUUAUUGGGUUUAAAGGGUGCGUAGGCGGAUAAAUAAGUCAGUGGUGAAAGCCUGCAGCUUAACUGUAGAAUUGCCAUUGAUACUGUUUAUCUUGAAUAUAGUUGAGGUGGGCGGAAUAUGACAUGUAGUGGUGAAAUACUUAGAUAUGUCAUAGAACACCGAUUGCGAAGGCAGCUCACUAAGCUAUGAUUGACGCUGAGGCACGAAAGCGUGGGGAGCAAA
rnacentral:rRNA from 1 species